rnacentral:lncRNA from 1 species
GAAAUUUCAGAUCUUAAAAAAAAAAAUCUCGAGGAAAAGAAAUGCUCUUGUUGCUGCAUUAUAUAGAUCUUCGCCCAACUUGAGGGCGACGCUGUAGUUGUGCCUCCACAGCAUCCAUCUUUUGUACCAUAACAACAAGUUGAUUGGUGAUUCUAGCCAACAUCUCGUCUUCUUCUCAAUCGUCAUCAUAGGGACGACUGUUUCUCAUACUUAUGAAGGUAGAGUACCUAAGUUGAUGUUGAUCGACAUUGUAGAGACGGACACUUCUCAUACUUAUGAAGGUAGAGUACCAAAGUUGAUGUUGAUCGGCGUUGUAGGGACGACCGCUUCUCGUACUCAUGGUGGUAGAGUACCUAAGUUGAUGAUGAGCAUUAUAGGGAU